AGCGAACGCUGGCGGCAGGCCUAACACAUGCAAGUCGAACGAAGUCUUCGGACUUAGUGGCGGACGGGUGAGUAACACGUGGGAACGUGCCCUUUGGUACGGAAUAACUCAGGGAAACUUGAGCUAAUACCGUAUGUGCCCUGCGGGGGAAAGAUUUAUCGCCAUUGGAGCGGCCCGCGUCUGAUUAGCUAGUUGGUGAGGUAAAGGCUCACCAAGGCGACGAUCAGUAGCUGGUCUGAGAGGAUGAUCAGGCACAUUGGGACUGAGACACGGCCCAAACGCCUGCGGGAGUCAGCAGUGGGGAAUCUUGCGCAAUGGGCGAAAGCCUGACGCAGCCAUGCCGCGUGAAUGAUGAAAGUCUUAGGAUUGUAAAAUUCUUUCACCGGGGACGAUAAUGACGGUACCCGGACAAGAAGCCCCGGCUAACUUCGUGCCAGCCGCCGCAGUAAAAC
rnacentral:rRNA from 1 species